CAUGUAACACUGGCAGUUGCACAUGAAGUAUACAGCUAGAUGACAUUAAGCAGUUAUAACUCAUAGACCAAUCUUCAUAUAUAAUAAAUCAUCACACAUUACAGGUAACAAAACUACAAAAGAGAUGAAAUAACAACAUGUAGACAUCCACGAUGAAAACUUGUACAUAAGCCGCAAGUCGCCAUUGUUGUGCACGUCAACAUUUAUUAUGUAAAAAAUACUAUUGAUAUUUUAGGAAAAUUUUAUUUUAAGUAGUACAUAGGAUGCUAUAUCGAUGAAGUUACAAAAGUGAUUGGGCCCACCAAGUAAUUGUGAGCCACACUGAACUCGGACAAGGACGUAUGAGCUGCACCAUGGAAGCCGAAAUCAAUCCACUGACAAAUCAUUAGCCAGUUACGACUUUGUUAUCUCCGGACACGACUUGGUUGCUCCCUGAUACAACAUUAUUGUUCCCAGCUACCCUAUUGUUAUUGCCGGAUACAAUAUUGUUGCUCCCAGUUACGACAUGGUUGGUGUCAACUAUGACAUUGCUGCUCCCAGAGGUGACUGUGUUAUUGCUCCCAGAAACAUUGUUGUUGUCCCAGAGACGAUAGUGUUGCCACUCCCAGAUACAAUGUUGCCACUCCCUGAUCUGACACUGUUGUUGGUCCCAAUAAUGGUAUUUGGUUGUUGUUGUUGUUGUUGGAGUGUUCUUCUAUUGAUCUUCACAUACAAUGGCAUAUGUUAGUGAAAGCUAUAUCCAGUGAACGAUCGACGGUGGUCAGGCCCUUCAGCUGUGUAAGAACCUACCUCACCAAUCAAUAAAUUAUUUGAGUUGAGAGAUUGAAUUAAGUACCUUCCCGGCGAAGCCCUGCAGCGCUUGGAGGUCGUCAGGGUGGCACGUUGCGUAGGCCACCGGCAGAAGAAACGCCAACAAAAAGGCGAGCAGUAGACAGCAUUUCGGCAUGGAUGCAGCUGUGGUCUGUGGUAUGUA
rnacentral:lncRNA from 1 species